UGAUCGCUGGAGGGGGGAAAGGUUAUCCGGACUUCAAGGUUUCUGCCGAGCCCUAGCUUGGUCUUCACUGCCGUGCCCUAGGUUUCCCCCUUUCAGGUGAGUGAGGUUUGGUAUCAACGGGAUUAAGCUGUUGUUGGAGCUGAGGAAUCUGAUCAUUAUUCAUACACUUAGGACUUUGACGCGAGACGGGUAUCUCGACGUCAUGUUUGGACCAGAUUGGACUUGUCGAUU